AACGAACGCUGGCGGCAUGCCUAACACAUGCAAGUCGAACGAGACCUUCGGGUCUAGUGGCGCACGGGUGCGUAACGCGUGGGAACCUGCCCUUAGGUUCGGAAUAACUCCCCGAAAGGGGUGCUAAUACCGGAUAAUGUCUUCGGACCAAAGAUUUAUCGCCUUUGGAUGGGCCCGCGUUGGAUUAGCUAGUUGGUAGGGUAAAAGCCUACCAAGGCGACGAUCCAUAGCUGGUCUGAGAGGAUGAUCAGCCACACUGGGACUGAGACACGGCCCAGACUCCGACGGGAGGCAGCAGUAGGGAAUAUUGGACGAUGGGCGAAAGCCUGAUACAGCAGUGCCGCGUGAGUGAUGAAGGCCGUAGGGUUGUAAAGCUCUUUUACCCGAGAUGAUAAUGACAGUACCGGGAGAAUAAGCUCCGGCUAACUCCGUG
rnacentral:rRNA from 1 species